UCGAUUUUAGUUCAGCUGGUUAGAAUAAAUGUUUUUGGUACAUUCAGUCGGUGGUUCGAUUCCAUCAUGUCGAU
rnacentral:tRNA from 1 species